GAGAGGACGCCAGAGUGUUUUCGUUGCGGUUACCUUCUCGAGCUCCAAGAUCCCCUUUGUGACUCUCCAGUUCCUCCGACCUCCUUCCGAGUCGAAACCGCUCCUCUGGAUCUAAGGCUCAUUCCAACGUCCUCCGGUUCCUCUCGCUGUUCUGGAUCUCGGUACCCACGGUGCUGCUCGGACCUCCUCGCCCCGCUCACCGGCGACCCGGACAUCUGCCAUCAACAUCUAAGCUGAGUCCACACACACACCAACCUCCCCGGCCGUGUUCUCUCGCACCUCGUGAUCGAUCCGGUUCCCUGGUCCCGAGCCCGUCCGAGCCGUCUCCUCGUUCCGCAGAUAGUUCUGCCGUCUCUGAGCCGUCUCCUCGUUCCGCAGAUUAGUUCUGCCGUCUGUACCCACCUGAGUCAAUAAAACUCUUAACAUCUACCUGUGUAACCGAGUGUGUUUCUGCAUGUGGGCCCGACACCUUAAGGCUAACAUGACAGUUUGUACACAUUUAACUAUUCAAUUCAAAUUACUAAAGUUACAAACAUAAGCCUAUAUCAAG